rnacentral:lncRNA from 1 species
GUUUAUAUUCUUACGAACGUAUUCUUUCUAACCUAAUGUACGAUGUAUAUAUAAAAGAACAUGAUUGUACAAAAUAUCGAGUUUUGAUUUCGCGCGGUUUUAAUGAAAACAUAAGCUUGUAUUAUAAGCUUGAUAUUUUGUUUCGAAUUAAGAAGUGUAUAAAAUAGUGAAAAUAUUGUGCAGCAAUACUUCAAACGUACAAUCAUUAUUAUAAGAAUGAGGAUCUUCUCGAUAUUCGAUUUCUCGAUAGACUACGACCACGAUGCUAUUCAUGGAAGACGAUAUUUGUAAGAAACGAAGUUUUCUAGAAUUCUUGUGCAACAAAAGAAACUCAAAUCAUAUAUUUCUACAAUCUUCAAUUACGACGGCAAAUAAUUGCAAGAUGUCAGGUAUAAUUGAAGAUGGAAGCUCGUCAUCUCGAAGAAAGGCUUUUACCUUCUAAACCAUAUCGAGUUUCAUCGAAACAUCAACAUUCUCGUUAGAAUGCGGGGGUUCUCGUAAAAAGCACUCAAAGCACUCUAGAUGAAAUCGCCUGUAAACAAAUUAUAAGUUAUUGUUCCCUUGAAUACGAAUACAUCAGUACAUCACGAUUAUGAAUUUACCAUGAGAAAUUUUUAUUUCUCCAAUGGUUUCCAUAAUAAUCAAAAACUUUAUCUAUAUAAAGGAUAAGGCUAUUAUAAUUUAGGCUUUUUUUUAUUAUCAUUUACAUAAAGAAUAAGGCUUGAAUAUUUUUAGUGGAGAAUAAUUGAGAUAAUAAAAAAAAAAUUUCAAAGUAUAAUGAUAAAAUGACCAUAAAACAACUAUAAGAGUAGGUUAAAUUGCAUAUUAAAAUUAACGUUUAUACUUUAUAUUCUCAUUUGUUUAAAAAAAGAUUCUUAAUGCUAAAAUGUAGAAACAAAACGUGAGCUAUCAGCAAGUUUAUACCAACAUGUAUAAUUUAUCAUAUUUUUUACAAGAAAAUCGUGCUUUCCAUU